CCCGCGGGGACAGGCUGGGGCAUCUAGGCUGUGCACAGUGACGCCCCUCCUGCCCCCACAG
rnacentral:miRNA from 1 species